GGUCCCAUCGUCUAGUGGCCUAGGACACCGCCCUUUCAAGGCGGCGGCACGGGUUCGAAUCCCGUUGGGACCGCCA
rnacentral:tRNA from 2 species